rnacentral:lncRNA from 1 species
CUAGAAAAAGGACAGAGAAUCCAGGAUGAUGGCAAAAGCCACAGGGCUACAUUAAGACUGGGCCAAUUAUUGGUUUAGAAUAAGGUUAAAUGAAACUAGCUACAUAAGAGUACAGCCAGCUUAAUUACUGGCUGGUGGACAUUAGACAAAUCUAACCAGAGGGAAACAGACCAGGAAAGAAAGUGAAGUUAAAAGGGAAUGGAAUAAGAGAAACCUCAUAAAAAGGGGUAAAGGAGAUAAUUAAAGGUUAAAGUUGGAUGGCCUAAUGUUCAAAGGAGAAAUAGUGGAGGCCAGAUAGAAAGUGCCUUCCUACCCAGGGGGUUAUGGAUCCAGGGUGGCUGCAACUGCAGGUCCACCUGGGGCCAGAG